rnacentral:rRNA from 1 species
GAGUUUGAUCCUGGCUCAGAACGAACGCUGGCGGCGUGCUUAACACAUGCAAGUCAGGGAGAAAGUCUCUUCGGGGAUGAUUAAACCGGCGCACGGGUGAGUAACACGUGAGUGACCUGCCUUUUAGACUGGAACAACUUACCGAAAGGUGAGCUAAUGCCGGAUGAGUUAUAUAAGUGCAUGUUUAUAUAGGAAAAGUUGGGGAGACCUGACGCUGAAAGAUGGACUCGCGUCCCAUUAGCUAGUUGGUAGGGUAAUGGCCUACCAAGGCGACGAUGGGUAGCCGGCCUGAGAGGGUGGCCGGCCACACUGGGACUGAGACACGGCCCAGACUCCUACGGGAGGCAGCAGUGGGGAAUUUUGCGCAAUGCUCGUAAGAGUGACGCAGCGACGCCGCGUGAAUGACGAAGGCCUUCGGGUCGUAAAGUUCUUUCGACAGGGAAGAAAAUGCCUAUAAGUAACUGUGUAUGUAUUGACGGUACCUGUAUAAGCAGCCCCGGCUAACUCCGUGCCAGCAGCCGCGGUAAUACGGAGGGGGCGAGCGUUGUUCGGAGUGACUGGGCGUAAAGAGCACGUAGGCGGUGUUGUAAGUCAUUAGUCAAAGACUAGAGCUCAACUUUAGUAAGGCUAGUGAUACUAUAAUACUAGAGUAU